AUGAGAUAUGUGGUUUAAAAACCGUCAUCAUUGAAUUAGGAUCUCCAUAUACCCCCAUUAACUUUAGUUUCGUUUUAACUUGGUGAAAAUCUUCGAGUUGGUAAUUAUAGAGAAAGAUAAUUCCACGAAAAUGUGUUUAAUGAAUAUUGAAUUAAUAUUAAAUUGUUUUUUGAAACUUUUUUACUUUUGUUUCUUCACGUUCUACUUUGCUUUGCAUAUGUUGUUAUCUUUUUUCUUAUAUAAUUUUUCGUAUUCUUUGUGCGUUAUAAUAGUUACUUAUAAAAUCGUCAUCGCACCGUUCUGUCGAUUGCGUUCGGAUAAAAAUGGGUCAAAAACGAAUUAAAAAAACUCAUAAUUAACAAUAGGAUUAAUAUCCAUUAAUUUAUAAUGUUUUGAUGGAAAUAAUAGUCAGUGUGUAUGCUUUUCCCUGUGCCCUGAACUGCAUUGUGAUUUGUACAUCACUCAAUUUAUGUGGAAGAAAAGACAAAAUUGUACAACGGAUAAAAUUUGUCUGUUGUUAAAAUCCACCUAAUUUACAGAAGAAAUCCAUGAAGAUAAGAUAACGACUGAUGAUGCAGUUGAAGGUUACAUUUCGCAAGCCCAAGUUAUAGAGCUUUGUGUGAAUGGUACGGCAGAACGUUGUGAACUCAUUUGGUGACUCUGGUAACUGCAGCUAAGAACAAUUUGAAGAGACAAAUAUUGGUGGAAAUUUCCUUUACUGUCAAAUGCCAUAUUUUGUAUAAAAAGUAGGUAGUACUCUCAAGAAAAAUAAAAUGUUGUACUUUAUUGCUACGAUACUCCAUAAU